AAAUCAUUCAAGGAAUAAGACAUCAUAAGAUCAAACCUAGUUUAAUGAUUUGAAACAAGAGUGAAAAUCCUUGACUAAAGAACACAUUAGUUGGAUAAUUUUCACGGACUAUAAAUCUCACAACACUUGGUGGAGGCAAAUAGCAGUCCGACAGUCUUUGACUCAUCUUCUUCUACUCAAACUCGAAGGUACUGAAUGUUACUGUUGAAACUAGGUAGAGGACACCAUUGUAUCAUGAAAGUUUAUUGCCUUAGUACCAGAAAUUAGAAUCUUCUUUUGCAGAAUACAGGAUCAACAGCAAACUUCAUUUUAUCUGCAAUGCAUCAUGUUCUACAAAAUUCAAUUAUCCAUAAGGAUCUAAUCUUUGAAAAUAUCUAAGAGAACAAGAGUUGUCCGCAGUACAACUCAAAGAAGGGUACAUGACUUGAUAUCCAUUACUUCUUUUAGGAGAACUAAGAAAGUAAAUAUUAUGAAAUUUUCCAAAAGGAGGAGAUAAUUGUUCAUCGCUUCUUGUAAAG
rnacentral:lncRNA from 1 species